CCCGAGGAGAAGUAGAGUGCUGUCCACGGAUCCAAACGCGGCGACUCCCCUGUAUAUUGGCUUGGAAACUUGACAAUCCACCUCCAGGAGGGAUAUCCCAGCGGCUGCCUCUUAAUUUUGGCCUGCAACCAAGAACAGAUGGAGGCCUCUCUGCAGCAUGCACUUCCUGGUCCAUUGGGAGGACAUCAGAGGAGAGGGAGCUUCUAUCUUGAGCAUUCUGUCGGGGAAAGCGUUUCUUUGGUGGUGGCGGAGGCGGGCCUAGAAUGGAGGAGCAUGGACGCUUAGAACUAGGAUACAACUGAGGAGAACCAUAUAAUUCAGAAGGAUUUGGAUUGGAUUGGUGGCUAUGGUUCUGGACAGAAAUAGUAGGUGAAAGUUGAGCGUUGGAAAUCGGCAAGGUAGUAAUCGCAAAGGCCUGAGUGAUUUGAGUUGCAGUUAUGCCUUGCACACUGAGAUUUUCAGGCAACAAAGCUGGAAUAGAAUGAUCAUGCUGAGAGGCAACUGCGGAUCCUGUAUCCUGUUUGUACCUAUCAUGUUGCUGGCGUAAGUGUGACCCAAACUUCUGGAGAAUAUUUGAUUCUUCUCUAGGAGUGUAAGGUACCAUAUCCAAGGUCUGAGAGGGCUGGUAUGAUUGUCGUUCAUGUACUGAAGCGUUCUCUGCAUGUUGAGUGUUGAUAGUUUGUCCUGAAUCUAUUUGCUGUUCAAACUGACUGGCAGCCAUAUUGAUGUUUUGAGCCCCUUCAACAGCCACUGGUUGAAUAGUGUCAGGAUGGUUUCCAUUAGAUCCCCCCACAACCAGACCACAUUGAGUCUGAUCUCUGUCGUAAACAUCAAUUGGUAUCUGGCUGCCACCAUGGCAAAUGUUAUGUGACUCCUUUAUAGUUGAAGUUUUAGUGUGAGAAGUUGAACCUUUCUGAUGGUAGUUUCUGGCUAACUUGUCAUUAUCUUUUUCAUUGCUGAAUUCUGUUGGGCAAGCAACCGAAGUUGAGAUUUUUCCUUUUGACUCCUCGGCAAAUAAACGUUGGAAUCUAGUAAGUUGAGGAUUCUGAUGUGAACUGAAAACUGGAUUGAAAGAACUUCUAUUUGCUGUAUCAAACUGAGGAAUGAGCUCUAGAGUAUUGAUCCAUUCUCCAAAUCUCUUUGAUGGAACAUCUGUAGUAGAAAUUCCUCUUUUAUGCCUGUUUAAGAUAAUCUGAUUCCUGAGAGGACAUCCCUGAACAUUGUGGAACAUAAUUCCACAGAAAGUGCAGAUUCUCCCAAUUUUCUCAUAGAACAGAUAAGCUAAGCCAGAUGAUUCAUUUGGAAAGUUGACCAUAAUCCUAUCCUUAAUUGGACUAUUAAUCUGCAACCUAGCAGUACCCCACAUAUACUCUGCUUUAGCAUAUAACAUACCCUGAUGAAGUGGAUGAAAUUCAGAUGGCUCUCCCACCUGUUCCAGAAUACUUCUAAGCAAUUGAAUUGAUCUGAAACUUCUU
rnacentral:lncRNA from 1 species